GCCGGGGUAUCCAAGCGGCUACGGAGACGGUCUCGAAAACCGUUGCCCUUACGGGCACAGGGGUUCGAAUCCCUUCCCCGGCGCCA
rnacentral:tRNA from 1 species